rnacentral:SRP_RNA from 1 species
UCGCGCUAGGUGGGGAGUCAGCGGUUCCCUGAACCCGAAAUCCGCUCCAUGCGGGGCCGAAUGCCGUCCGAGGGACGGUGUCUUCGGGACUGGAUCUAUCGCACGUGGUGUUGACAGAUCGGGUUCCGCGCACUGGGAGCGUCCGAACCGCGUCAGGUCCGGAAGGAAGCAGCGCUAAGGACUCCCUCUCAGGUGCCGCGGCUCCGCCCGAUCCGAGCCGGCGACGUGGAUUCCUCCGGGGACGCCUGUUUCGAAGGCGGAGUGCGU